AACGAACGCUGGCGGCAGGCUUAACACAUGCAAGUCGAGCGCAUCCUUCGGGGUGAGCGGCGGACGGGUGAGUAACGCGUGGGAACGUGCCCUCUUCUACGGAAUAGCCUCGGGAAACUGAGAGUAAUGCCGUAUACGCCCGCAAGGGGAAAGAUUUAUCGGAGGAGGAUCGGCCCGCGUUGGAUUAGGUAGUUGGUGGGGUAACGGCCUACCAAGCCGACGAUCCAUAGCUGGUUUGAGAGGAUGAUCAGCCACACUGGGACUGAGACACGGCCCAGACUCCUACGGGAGGCAGCAGUGGGGAAUCUUGGACAAUGGGGGCAAACCUGAUCCAGCCAUGCCGCGUGAUCGAUGAAGGCCUUAGGGUUGUAAAGAUCUUUCAGCUGGGAAGAUAAUGACGGUACCCGCAGAAGAAGCCCCGGCUAACUCCGUG
rnacentral:rRNA from 1 species